UGGUGGAGUGAUUUGUCUGGUUAAUUCCGAUAACGAACGAGACUCUGUCCUGCUAACUAGGUUGUGUUUUCUCGGGUUGGUGUCUGGUGUUCCUUCUCGGGGCGCCGGCCCAAUCCACUUGUGAACACAACACUCUUCUUAGAGGGACUGGCGGCUGUUAGCCGCACGAGAUAGAGCAAUAACA
rnacentral:rRNA from 1 species